UACCGCAUACGAUCUAAGGAUGAAAGUGGGGGAUCGCAAGACCUCAUGCUCGUGGAGCGGCCGAUAUCUGAUUAGCUAGUUGGUAGGGUAAAAGCCUACCAAGGCAUCGAUCAGUAGCUGGUCUGAGAGGACGACCAGCCACACUGGAACUGAGACACGGUCCAGACUCCUACGGGAGGCAGCAGUGGGGAAUUUUGGACAAUGGGCGAAAGCCUGAUCCAGCAAUGCCGCGUGAGUGAAGAAGGCCUUCGGGUUGUAAAGCUCUUUUGUCAGGGAAGAAACGGUGAGAGCUAAUAUCUCUUGCUAAUGACGGUACCUGAAGAAUAAGCACCGGCUAACUACGUGCCAGCAGCCGCGGUAAUACGUAGGGUGCAAGCGUUAAUCGGAAUUACUGGGCGUAAAGCGUGCGCAGGCGGUUUUGUAAGUCUGAUGUGAAAUCCCCGGGCUCAACCUGGGAAUUGCAUUGGAGACUGCAAGGCUAGAAUCUGGCAGAGGGGGGUAGAAUUCCACGUGUAGCAGUGAAAUGCGUAGAUAUGUGGAGGAACACCGAUGGCGAAGGCAGCCCCCUGGGUCAAGAUUGACGCUCAUGCACGAAAGCGUG
rnacentral:rRNA from 1 species